rnacentral:rRNA from 1 species
GACGAACGCUGGCGGCGUGCUUAACACAUGCAAGUCGAACGGAAAGGCCCUUCGGGGUACUCGAGUGGCGAACGGGUGAGUAACACGUGGGUGAUCUGCCCUGCACUUUGGGAUAAGCCUGGGAAACUGGGUCUAAUACCUAAUAUGAUCAUCGGCUUCAUGGUCGGUGGUGGAAAGCUUUUGCGGUGUGGGAUGGGCCCGCGGCCUAUCAGCUUGUUGGUGGGGUAAUGGCCUACCAAGGCGACGACGGGUAGCCGGCCUGAGAGGGUGACCGGCCACACUGGGACUGAGAUACGGCCCAGACUCCUACGGGAGGCAGCAGUGGGGAAUAUUGCACAAUGGGCGCAAGCCUGAUGCAGCGACGCCGCGUGAGGGAUGACGGCCUUCGGGUUGUAAACCUCUUUCAGCACAGACGAAGCGCAAGUGACGGUAUGUGCAGAAGAAGGACCGGCCAACUACGUG